rnacentral:rRNA from 1 species
AGAGUUUGAUCCUGGCUCAGGAUGAACGCUGGCGGCGUGCUUAACACAUGCAAGUCGAACGAAGCACUUUAAUCGAUUUCUUCGGAUUGAAAUUUUAGUGACUGAGUGGCGGACGGGUGAGUAACGCGUGGGUAACCUGCCUCACACAGGGGGAUAACAGUUGGAAACGGCUGCUAAUACCGCAUAAGCGCACAGUACCGCAUGGUACGGUGUGAAAAACUCCGGUGGUGUGAGAUGGACCCGCGUCUGAUUAGCUAGUUGGCAGGGCAACGGCCUACCAAGGCGACGAUCAGUAGCCGACCUGAGAGGGUGACCGGCCACAUUGGGACUGAGACACGGCCCAAACUCCUACGGGAGGCAGCAGUGGGGAAUAUUGCACAAUGGGGGAAACCCUGAUGCAGCGACGCCGCGUGAGCGAAGAAGUAUUUCGGUAUGUAAAGCUCUAUCAGCAGGGAAGAAGAAAUGACGGUACCUGACUAAGAAGCACCGGCUAAAUACGUGCCAGCAGCCGCGGUAAUACGUAUGGUGCAAGCGUUAUCCGGAUUUACUGGGUGUAAAGGGAGCGCAGGCGGUACGGCAAGUCUGAUGUGAAAGCCCGGGGCUCAACCCCGGUACUGCAUUGGAAACUGUCGGACUAGAGUGUCGGAGGGGUAAGUGGAAUUCCUAGUGUAGCGGUGAAAUGCGUAGAUAUUAGGAGGAACACCAGUGGCGAAGGCGGCUUACUGGACGAUAACUGACGCUGAGGCUCGAAAGCGUGGGGAGCAAACAGGAUUAGAUACCCUGGUAGUCCACGCCGUAAACG